UUCCUAAACCUCUUAAGUGUGACGGGUUUCGUAUUUGUAUAGAUCUUAUUGGAUUGAUCUAUGCUUAAAAGAAGCUCCAGGAAAUAGCACUUAUAUUUAUGAGGCCGUACCGCAAACCGACACUGGUGGAUGAGUAGAGUAUACUAAGGUGUUGAAAGAAUGAUGUUGAAGGAACUCGGCAAAUUAUACCUGUAACUUCGGAAGAAGGGUAACCUGCUUUUAGGCAACUAUGAGUAGGUGGCACAAAAUAGGGAGUAGCGACUGUUUACUAAAAACACAGGACUCUGCAAACACGUAAGUGGAAGUAUAGGGUCUGACGCCUGCCCGGUGCUGGAAGGUUAAUAGGAAGGGUGCAAGCUCCGAAUUGAAGCCCCAGUAAACGGCGGCCGUAACACUGACGGUCCUAAGGUAGCGAAAUUCCUUGUCGGGUAAGUUCCGACCCGCACGAAUGGCGUAACGAUUUCUCCACUGUCUCCAACAUCACUUCAGCGAAAUUGAAUUCCCCGUGCAGAUGCGGGGUACCCGCGGUUAGACGAAGAGACCCCGUGCACCUUUACUAUAGCUUUACAUUGCUAUUAAAAGUGUGAUGUGCAGGAUAGGUGGGAGACUUUGAAGUUAUGGCGCUAGCUAUAAUGGAGUCAACCUUGAGAUACCACCCUUUACACUUUUGAUAUCUAACUAUGUUUCAUUAUCUGGAACUAGGACAUUGUAUGGUGGGUAGUUUGACUGGGGCGGUCGCCUCCUAAAAAGUAACGGAGGCGUGCGAAGGUAAGCUAGAGCUGGUCGGAAAUCAGCUUGAUAGUAUAAUGGCAUAAGCUUGCCUGACUGCGAGGCUGACAAGCCAAGCAGAGACGAAAGUCGGUCAUAGUGAUCCGGUGAUUCUGUAUGGAAGGGUCAUCGCUCAACGGAUAAAAGGUACGCCGGGGAUAACAGGCUGAUGGUGUUCGAGCGUUCAUAGCGACGACACCGUUUGGCACCUCGAUGUCGACUCAUCACAUCCUGGGGCUGAAGAAGGUCCCAAGGGUUCGGCUGUUCGCCGAUUAAAGUGAUACGUGAGUUGGGUUUAGAACGUCGUGAGACAGUUCGGUUUCUAUCUGCCGUGGGUGAAGGAAAUUUGAGAAGGUCUGACUCUAGUACGAGAGGACCGAGAUGGAUAUACCUCUGGUGUACCAGCUGUUAUGCCAAUAGCAUCGCUGGGUGGCUAUGUAUAGAUGGGAUAAUUGCUGAAAGCAUAUAAGCAAGAAACCCUCUUCAAAAAGAUUUCCCAAUUAAGGCCGUGGAAGACUACCACGUUGAUAGGCUAGGUGUGGAAGCAUGGUAACAUGUGAAGCUAACUAGUACUAAUAGCCUGAUUGAUUUAUUUGC
rnacentral:rRNA from 1 species